GAACCGCAUGGUUCAAAAGUGAAAGACGGUCUUGCUGUCACUUAUAGAUGGAUCCGCGCUGCAUUAGCUAGUUGGUAAGGUAACGGCUUACCAAGGCAACGAUGCAUAGCCGACCUGAGAGGGUGAUCGGCCACACUGGAACUGAGACACGGUCCAGACUCCUACGGGAGGCAGCAGUAGGGAAUCUUCCGCAAUGGGCGAAAGCCUGACGGAGCAACGCCGCGUGAGUGAUGAAGUUCUUCGGAUCGUAAAACUCUGUUAUUAGGGAAGAACAAAUGUGUAAGUAACUGUGCACAUCUUGACGGUACCUAAUCAGAAAGCCACGGCUAACUACGUGCCAGCAGCCGCGGUAAUACGUAGGUGGCAAGCGUUAUCCGGAAUUAUUGGGCGUAAAGCGCGCGUAGGCGGUUUCUUAAGUCUGAUGUGAAAGCCCACGGCUCAACCGUGGAGGGUCAUUGGAAACUGGGAAACUUGAGUGCAGAAGAAGAAAGUGGAAUUCCAUGUGUAGCGGUGAAAUGCGCAGAGAUAUGGAGGAACACCAGUGGCGAAGGCGACUUUCUGGUCUGUAACUGACGCUGAUGUGCGAAAGCGUGGGGAUCAAACAGGAUUAGAUACCCUGGUAGUCCACGCCGUAAACGAUGAGUGCUAAGUGUUAGGGGGUUUCCGCCCCUUAGUGCUGCAGCUAACGCAUUAAGCACUCCGCCUGGGGAGUAC
rnacentral:rRNA from 1 species